UACGUAGGGGGCAAGCGUUGUCCGGAAUCAUUGGGCGUAAAGAGCGUGUAGGCGGCCAGAUAAGUCCGCUGUGAAAUCUCGAGGCUCAACUUCGAGCUGCCGGUGGAAACUGUCUGGCUAGAGUCCGGGAGAGGAGAGUGGAAUUCCUGGUGUAGCGGUGAAAUGCGCAGAUAUCGGGAGGAACACCGGUGGCGAAGGCGGUUCUCUGGGCCUGUUCUGACGCUGAGGAGCGAAGCGUGGGGAGCAAACAGG
rnacentral:rRNA from 1 species